GCUUACGGCCAUACCACCCUGAGCACGCCCGAUCUCGUCUGAUCUCGGAAGCUAAGCAGGGUUGGGCUUGGUUAGUACUUGGAUGGUAGACUGCCUGGGAAUACCAGGUGCUGUAAGCU
rnacentral:rRNA from 1 species